UCCAAGGUAAAGAAUCUCUAGCCUCAUCAUCUACUGCCACUACCUUUAAGGGUAUUAUCUUUGUUAAAAGAAGCCAAGGUGUGGAUGCUCCAAAUAAAUCCGUGUUAAAGUCAAAUCACUUUAAAAAUUCUCAUGAAAGAUCAACCUCAAAGAAGCUGAAUCUAGCGCAGAAAAAUGAAGGAGAAAUAAAAUCAAA